rnacentral:rRNA from 1 species
AACGUAGGUGGCGAGCGUUAUCCGGAUUUACUGGGCGUAAAGGGUGUGCAGGCUGCCCCUCAAGUGGUGUAUGAAAGGGCUCGGCUCAACCGGGCUAGGUUAUGCCAGACUGAGGGGCUAGAGAGCGAGAGCGGGACGUGGAAUUCCGGGUGUAGUGGUGAAAUGCGUAGAGAUCCGGAGGAACCCCAGAGGCGAAGGCGGCGUCCUGGCGCGCAUCUGACGCUCAGACACGACAGCAUGGGGAGCGAACGGG